GAUGAACGCUGGCGGCGUGCCUAAUACAUGCAAGUCGAGCGAACGGACGAGAAGCUUGCUUCUCUGAUGUUAGCGGCGGACGGGUGAGUAACACGUGGAUAACCUACCUAUAAGACUGGGAUAACUUCGGGAAACCGGAGCUAAUACCGGAUAAUAUUUUGAACCGCAUGGUUCAAAAGUGAAAGACGGUCUUGCUGUCACUUAUAGGUGGAUCCGCGCUGCAUUAGCUAGUUGGUAAGGUAACGGCUUACCAAGGCAACGAUGCAUAGCCGACCUGAGAGGGUGAUCGGCCACACUGGAACUGAGACACGGUCCAGACUCCUACGGGAGGCAGCAGUAGGGAAUCUUCCGCAAUGGGCGAAAGCCUGACGGAGCAACGCCGCGUGAGUGAUGAAGGUCUUCGGAUCGUAAAACUCUGUUAUUAGGGAAGAACAUAUGUGUAAGUAACUGUGCACAUCUCGACGGUACCUAAUCAGAAAGCCACGGCUAACUACGUGCCAGCAGCCGCGGUAAUACGUAGGUGGCAAGCGUUAUCCGGAAUUAUUGGGCGUAAAGCGCGCGUAGGCGGUUUUUUAAGUCUGAUGUGAAAGCCCACGGCUCAACCGUGGAGGGUCAUUGGAAACUGGAAAACUUGAGUGCAGAAGAGGAAAAGUGGAAUUCCAUGUGUAGCGGUGAAAUGCGCAGAGAUAUGGAGGAACACCAGUGGCGAAGGCGACUUUCUGGUCUGUAACUGACGCUGAUGUGCGAAAGCGUGGGGAUCAAACAGGAUUAGAUACCCUGGUAGUCCACGCCGUAAACGAUGAGUGCUAAGUGUUAGGGGGUUUCCGCCCCUUAGUGCUGCAGCUAACGCAUUAAGCACUCCGCCUGGGGAGUACGACCGCAAGGUUGAAACUCAAAGGAAUUGACGGGGACCCGCACAAGCGGUGGAGCAUGUGGUUUAAUUCGAAGCAACGCGAAGAACCUUACCAAAUCUUGACAUCCUUUGACAACUCUAGAGAUAGAGCCUUCCCCUUCGGGGGACAAAGUGACAGGUGGUGCAUGGUUGUCGUCAGCUCGUGUCGUGAGAUGUUGGGUUAAGUCCCGCAACGAGCGCAACCCUUAAGCUUAGUUGCCAUCAUUAAGUUGGGCACUCUAAGUUGACUGCCGGUGACAAACCGGAGGAAGGUGGGGAUGACGUCAAAUCAUCAUGCCCCUUAUGAUUUGGGCUACACACGUGCUACAAUGGACAAUACAAAGGGCAGCGAAACCGCGAGGUCAAGCAAAUCCCAUAAAGUUGUUCUCAGUUCGGAUUGUAGUCUGCAACUCGACUACAUGAAGCUGGAAUCGCUAGUAAUCGUAGAUCAGCAUGCUACGGUGAAUACGUUCCCGGGUCU
rnacentral:rRNA from 1 species